rnacentral:rRNA from 1 species
UACGUAGGGCGCAAGCGUUGUCCGGAAUUAUUGGGCGUAAAGAGCUCGUAGGUGGCUUGUCACGUCGGGUGUGAAAGCUUGGGGCUUAACUCCAGGUCUGCAUUCGAUACGGGCUGGCUAGAGGUAGGUAGGGGAGAACGGAAUUCCUGGUGUAGCGGUGAAAUGCGCAGAUAUCAGGAGGAACACCGGUGGCGAAGGCGGCUUGCUGGGCCUUACCUGACGCUGAGGAGCGAAAGCGUGGGGAGCGAACAGG